rnacentral:rRNA from 1 species
UGCAAGUCGAACGGUAACAGCGGGUGCUUGCACCCGGCUGACGAGUGGCGGACGGGUGAGUAACGCGUAGGAAUCUACCCAGUAGAGGGGGAUAGCCCGGGGAAACCUGGAUUAAUACCGCAUACAUCCUCAGGGGAAAAGGUGGCCAAUUCUUGAAAGCUGCCGCUAUUGGAUGAGCCUGCGCCAGAUUAGCUUGUUGGUGGGGUAAUAGCCCACCAAGGCGACGAUCUGUAGCUGGUCUGAGAGGACGAUCAGCCACAUUGGGACUGAGACACGGCCCAAACUCCUACGGGAGGCAGCAGUGGGGAAUAUUGCGCAAUGGGCGAAAGCCUGACGCAGCUAUGCCGCGUGUGUGAAGAAGGCUCUAGGGUUGUAAAGCACUUCCAGAAGUGAGGAAAGGUACUCGGUUAAUAGCCGAAUACUUUGACGUUAGCUUCAGAAGAAGCACCGGCUAACUCCGCGCCAGCAGCCGCGGUAAUACGGAGGGUGCAAACGUUAAUCGGAAUUACUGGGCGUAAAGCGCUCGCAGGUGGUAUCUUAAGUGGGAUGUGAAAGCCCCGGGCUCAACCUGGGAACUGCAUCUCAAACUGGAAUACUGGAGUGUGGUAGAGGGAGGCGGAAUUUCACAUGUAGCGGUGGAAUGCGUAGAUAUGUGAAGGAACACCGGUGGCGAAGGCGGCCUCCUGGACCAAUACUGACACUGAGGAGCGAAAGCGUGGGGAGCAAACAGGCUUAGAUACCCUGGUAGUCCACGCCGUAAACGAUGAG